AGUGAACGCUGGCGGUAGGCCUAACACAUGCAAGUCGAACGGCAGCACAGUAAGAGCUUGCUUUUACGGGUGGCGGGUGGCGGAUGGGUGAGGAAUACAUAGGAUUCUACUAUUUCGUGGGGGAUAACGUAGGGAAACGUACGCUAAUACCGCAUACGAUCUACGGGUGAAUGCAGUGGUGCUUCGGACCUUGCCCGAGUGAAUGAGACGAUGUCGGAUUAGCUAGGUGGCGAGGUAAAGGCCCACCAAGGCGACGAUCCGUAGCUGGGCUGACACGAUGGUGCGCCCCACUGGAACUGAGAAAAGGUCCAUAAUCCUAAGGGAGGCAGCCAGUGGGAAUAUUGGACAAUGGGCGCAAGCCUGGUCCAGGCAUGCCGGGUGGAUGGAGGAGGCCUUCGGGUUGUAAAGCCCUUUUGUUGGGAGAAAAAAACAGCAGGAUAAUACCACGCUGUUCUGACGGUACCCAAAGAAUAAGGACCGGCUAACUUCGUG
rnacentral:rRNA from 1 species